UACGUAGGGGGCAAGCGUUGUCCGGAUUUAUUGGGCGUAAAGAGCUCGUAGGCGGCUUAGAAAGUCAGGUGUGAAAACUCUGGGCUUAACCCAGAGACGCCACUUGAUACUUCUAUGGCUUGAGUUCGGUAGGGGACCAUGGAAUUCCUGGUGUAGCGGUGAAAUGCGCAGAUAUCAGGAGGAACACCGAUGGCGAAGGCAGUGGUCUGGGCCGAUACUGACGCUGAGGAGCGAAAGCGUGGGGAGCGAACAGG
rnacentral:rRNA from 1 species